GACAGUGUGGCAUAGUGGUUUGAGCAUUGAUCUAUGACUCUGGAAAUCAGGCUUCAAUUCCCCGCUCUGCCA